rnacentral:rRNA from 1 species
AGAGUUUGAUCCUGGCUCAGAUUGAACGCUGGCGGCAGGCCUAACACAUGCAAGUCGAGCGGUAACAGGGGUAGCUUGCUACCCGCUGACGAGCGGCGGACGGGUGAGUAAUGCAUAGGAAUCUGCCCGAUAGUGGGGGAUAACCUGGGGAAACCCAGGCUAAUACCGCAUACGUCCUACGGGAGAAAGGGGGCUUUGGCUCCCGCUAUUGGAUGAGCCUAUGUCGGAUUAGCUAGUUGGUAAGGUAAUGGCUUACCAAGGCAACGAUCCGUAGCUGGUCUGAGAGGAUGAUCAGCCACAUCGGGACUGAGACACGGCCCGAACUCCUACGGGAGGCAGCAGUGGGGAAUAUUGGACAAUGGGGGCAACCCUGAUCCAGCCAUGCCGCGUGUGUGAAGAAGGCCCUCGGGUUGUAAAGCACUUUCAGCGAGGAAGAACGCCUGUCGGUUAAUACCCGGUAGGAAAGACAUCACUCGCAGAAGAAGCACCGGCUAACUCCGUGCCAGCAGCCGCGGUAAUACGGAGGGUGCAAGCGUUAAUCGGAAUUACUGGGCGUAAAGCGCGCGUAGGUGGCUUGAUAAGCCGGUUGUGAAAGCCCCGGGCUCAACCUGGGAACGGCAUCCGGAACUGUCAGGCUAGAGUGCAGGAGAGGAAGGUAGAAUUCCCGGUGUAGCGGUGAAAUGCGUAGAGAUCGGGAGGAAUACCAGUGGCGAAGGCGGCCUUCUGGACUGACACUGACACUGAGGUGCGAAAGCGUGGGUAGCAAACAGGAUUAGAUACCCUGGUAGUCCACGCCGUAAACGAUGUCGACCAGCCGUUGGGUGCCUAGAGCACUUUGUGGCGAAGUUAACGCGAUAAGUCGACCGCCUGGGGAGUACGGCCGCAAGGUUAAAACUCAAAUGAAUUGACGGGGGCCCGCACAAGCGGUGGAGCAUGUGGUUUAAUUCGAUGCAACGCGAAGAACCUUACCUACUCUUGACAUCCUGCGAAUUUGGUAGAGAUACCCUUAGUGCCUUCGGGAACGCAGAGACAGGUGCUGCAUGGCUGUCGUCAGCUCGGUGUUGGUGAAAUUGUUUGGGGUUUA